GAGGUCAGAAUAAAGAAGCCUUGAGGGUUUAAAUCGCUUCUUGAAAAGAAAUGCCCGUGUGUCAAGGAGCUAAGGGAGACCAGCCCAGGAGGAGCUGAAUCCUGCCAACAAUCACUUGAGUGAACUUGAGAGUGAAUCCUCUCCAUGUUAAGCCUUGAGUGAAAGCGGAAUACCUGGUUAUCCGGAGGUCACUGUCUCCACACAGAGUGGUGUCCUUGAUGCUAGCUUGGGGCAAAGAAGCCAGGCCAGCUUGUGGUUGCAAUAGGAAUAGAAGAGACUUCCUUACUCCAAUCCCACCCUACCCCCUCAUCCUGCCUCAACCAGUCAUGCAGAGAGAUGCUGAAUGGCUGCCUGCUCUCAGGGGAAUGAUUUGUGGAGGUUUAAUUAAAAUAAUUUAAUCAAUC
rnacentral:lncRNA from 1 species